CAGUCGCCGCGGUAAUGCGUAGGUGGCAAGCGUUGUCCGGAAUUAUUGGGCGUAAAGGGCUCGCAGGCGGUUUCUUAAGUCUGAUGUGGAAGCCCCCGGCUCAACCGGGGAGGGUCAUUGGAAACUGGAAAACUUGAGUGCAGAAGAGGAGUGUGGAAUUCCACGUGUAGCGGUGAAAUGCGUAGAGAUGUGGAGGAACACCAGUGGUGAAGGCGACUCUCUGGUCUGUAACUGACGCUGAGGAGCGAAAGCGUGGGGAGCAAACAGGAUUAGAUACCCCCGUAGUCCCUGUCUCUUAUAC
rnacentral:rRNA from 1 species